rnacentral:rRNA from 1 species
AGUUUGAUUAUAAACCAGUUGGAACGCUGGCGGGAUGCUACGCUGCAGUCGAACGGCAGCGCGGACUUCGGUCUGGUGGCGUGUGGCGAACGGGUGGUAAUCGGAACGUGCCUAGUAGCGGGGGAUAACUACGCAGCGUAGCUAUUACCCACAUACACCCUUCGAAGGAAAGCGGGGCGUGCCGGGCCUCACGCUAUUAAACGACCGAUAUCAGUUAAUGAAUUUGAACAGGUGGCAGCUCCACUGGAAGCCGACGAUCCGUAGCUGGUUUGAGAGGACGACCAGGACGAGACUGGCCCAGACUCUACGGGGAGGCAGCAGUGGGGAAUUUUGGACAAUCGAAGCCUGGUCCAGCCAUCCAUGCGAUAGUGUCAGGUUCAACCUUUUAGCGGAAAAAGAAACGGCGGGAUGUGCAGUACGGCAGUACCUGCAGAAUAGCGCAAUAACUACAUUGCCAGCGGCCGCGGUAAUACGGCUGGUGCAGCGUUAAUCGGAAUUACUGGGCGUAAAGCGUGCGCGAGCGGUUCGAAGAAGAUUGGCGAAAUCCCGACGCUUUGGAACUGCAUUUUACCGAGCUAGAGUGUGUCAGAGGGAGGUGGAAUUCCGCGUGUGACAGUGAAAUGCGUAGAUAUGCGGAGGAACACCGAUGGCGAAGAGCAGCCUCCUGGGAUAACACUGGCGCUCAUGCACACAUGAAAAGCGUGGGAGCAAACAGGAUUAGAUACCCUGGUGAAAGUCCACGCCCUAAACGAUGUCAACUAGCUGUUGGGGCCUUCGGGCUGGUAGCGCAGCUAACGCGUGAAGUUGACCGCCUGGGAGUACGGUCGCAAGAUUAAAACUCAAAGCGGGGACCCGCACAAGCGGUGGAUGAUGUGGUUCAAAUUCGAUGCAACGCGAAAACUACCUACCCGCUUGACAUGUCUGGAAUCCCGAAGAGAUUGGGAGUGCUCGCGAGAACCGGAACUGGAGUGCUAUGGCUGUCGUCAGCUCGUGUCGUGAGAUGUUGGGUUAAGUCCCGCAACGAGCGCAACCGUAUCAUUAGUUGCUGCGGGCGCUCUAAUGAGACUGCCGGUGACAAACGGAGGAAGGUGGGGAUGACGUCAGGAAUCCUCACUUGGCCCUUAUGGGUAGGGCUUCACACGUCAUACAAUGGUCGGGACGGAAGAUCGCCAACCCGCGAAGAACCAAUCCCGAAGAACUGAUCGUCCGGAUGUGAUGUACAACUCGACUGCGUGAAGUCCGGAAAUCGCUAGUAAUCGCGGAUCAAUGUCGCGGUGAAUACGUUCCCGGGUCUUGUACACACCGCCCGUCACACCAUGGGAGUGGGUUUUACCGAAGUAGUUAGCUAACCAUAGUAAGGAGGCAGUUACCACGGUAGGAUUCAUGACUGGGGUGAAGUCGUAACAAAUG